GACGAACGCUGGCGGCAUGCUUAACACAUGCAAGUCGAACGCUGAAGCCCUGGCUUUUGUUGGGUUGGAUGAGUGGCGAACGGGUGAGUAACACGUGAGUAACCUGCCCUCUUCUUUGGGAUAACGCCCGGAAACGGGUGCUAAUACUGGAUAUUCACUGGCCUUCGCAUGGGGGUUGGUGGGAAGGUUUGUUCUGGUGGGGGAUGGGCUCGCGGCCUAUCAGCUUGUUGGUGGGGUGAUGGCCUACCAAGGCUUUGACGGGUAGCCGGCCUGAGAGGGUGACCGGUCACAUUGGGACUGGGAUACGGCCCAGACUCCUACGGGAGGCAGCAGUGGGGAAUAUUGCACAAUGGGCGAAAGCCUGAUGCAGCGACGCCGCGUGAGGGAUGGAGGCCUUCGGGUUGUAAACCUCUUUCGCUCAUGGUCAAGCCGCAACUGUGGGUUGUGGUGAGGGUAGUGGGUAAAGAAGCGCCGGCUAACUACGUG
rnacentral:rRNA from 1 species